AAUAAGUUACACUGCCUUGCCCUAAAACUGUUCCAUGCGGUCACGUUCACAAAGGAUGAUAAUUACAAAGCACAAGCCUGGGCAAGUAUUGCACAUCUGCUGAGUAGUAGGUGCAUUAGAACUGUAUCUUCAAGCCAGGAGAUGCAAAAUCAUAAUUCAAAGGGGAAGAAAAAUCCCCAGAAAACUGAGCUUUCUCCAAGCAAUGUAUCACAACAGCAGUGUAAGUCUGUGAAGAGCCAGUUUAGCAAAGACCCAAAUGCAACUGCAACAAAGUCAAAUGUGAAGUCCAAGCCACUGAACCAGCAAAAUAGUAAAGAUAACAUACAGAUGAAAUUCCUAGAGGAAUUUUGUGAACAAGUUUACAGUAAUGUUCUCGGUUUAUCAGCUCAAGAACAUCUGCCUGAAGAGAACGGAGCUGGUUCAGGACAGUCCUCAGAGCAAGCCACAGACACAGACAGGAGUAAAAACAAACGAGAUAAACAAGAGGCUCAAUCAUCAGCUGUUCCAAAGAAGAAAAACCGCAGACAGCAUGGUCAUAUUAAGGUCCCCCCUGGCUUAAAAGAACUGGGGUUGGUCAAAGCUCCUUACUUUGAGAACAAGGAUGAGUUGUGCAAAUGUGUUUCUGGAUUCUUUGAGAAAGCUAGAAGUUAUGCCCCGUGCUACACAAAUAUCCUCAACAGAUAUGCUCAUUUUUUAUGGCAUAUUGGCAAAGAAGAUGAAGCUAUGGAAAUACACGAGGAGUCGAUUGAUAUUGAUAAGUGUGAGAGCAACUGGUUUGCCUUUAAAUCCAUGGGGGAAAAUCUGAGAAAGAAAUAUAAGGAUGAAUGGUACGAUAGAGUGCACCAAAAAAGUGAUAAAAACCCAAGGAUUGAAUUAGCCCUUAAAGCAAAAGAGAAACUUGAAAUUGCGGUUCAGCAUAAUCCUAAUCCCCAGGACUAUGCCUACUUGGCUGAAACUUGUCAUUUUUUGGGCAUAGACACAAAUAGACAAGUGACAGAUGAGAAAAUGCUCCUGAAAGCACUUUACUAUUUCAAGUAUGCCACAAAUAAUUUACAAGGAGGAAGGAUCCCAAUGUUGCAUCAUUUGCUAGGGCUGUGCUUGCUUGAUCUGGGGGAAAAAAGAAAUGCUCUGGAAUCCUUUAAGAAUGCUUUGCAAUGUCAGGAACCGAACAGCACUUUCACAAUAUCUUUCCGUUGCAUGAUGCUAGUACUUUUACAGAUUUGCAAGAGUGCAAAGACAAAAAGCGAUGAUAGGACUUACAUGUACCGCACUGCACUGCGAGAGCUGAGACACUGGUUGAUUGAAGGAUGUCAUCCAAACAGAUAUUUAGAGAAAGAAUUGCUCAAAGAAAUUUCAGAGUUGUGGGGUCCUAGAAAGGAACCAUUUGAGCCUGAUAUAUUGACUGAGUUAUGUGUUAAACUGAAGGAUGGAAAACAAGAUGAACAAAAUGUGUCUUCUUUGCUUGAAAAAGGACUUAAGUUGUGCAUUGACAAGUAUCCCAAGCAACCUGCCCCCACAGCAGGCUCUGAACCAGCAGAGAGAGGUGAUCUUCAUGUUUCCCAGCUUAGGACUUGUUUGGAGAAAAUACAGUUGGCCCCAACCCCCAAAGCAGCCGAGCCAGUCAGUAUGCCAGGGGCAGCUGUAGAUGUCCCAGAAGUAGUGAUGGGAUCAAGUCAAACAUCACAGGACGUACUGAAGGAAGCUACUCCAACCUCACAGUCCACCUAUAGAGGUGUUGAUGAAACCACCCUAGCUGUGUCACAGGCUCUACCCCAAGCUUUAGACCCUAACUCUGUGAAGACUUCCGUGGUCCAAGAAGAAGGCAGAUCAUUGGAAGAGAAAGGUGCAGGUAUGUUGCCAUCAGAGAUGCCGCCUAAUCUCUUGCCUCCAGACAGCAAUGAAGACGACACAUAUAGACCAGCUUCAGCUCAAUCUGAAUACACAUCUUCUUCAGUUCAAGUAGAGCCUCUCACUGACAUUGUAAGGACUGGCGACCCAGAGGCACAGGAUACAUUUCAACAGGAGAGAAGAGAAGCACGCAACGACACGCUCACUGCUGACAAACCUGCAAAAUCUGAAGAAAUACAUGAAAAAAAUGACAAAGAAAUUCAGUGUGAUAUUUCAACAGAGCCCCCAAGUGACAUGAUGGGCCAAGUGCCCUCAUCUCCCCCUCUGGCUUAUUGCUUCGAGUCCAAACGAGCCAAAAACUUGAAAGGCAUGGAGUAUGAUUUUUUUGUGAUGUAUUGUGACUCUGAUGCAGACUUUGUCAGUUUUCACUUACUAACAACCUUAGAGAAUUCAAAAGAGUUGAAAGGUUGCAUAAAAGACAGGGACUUCAUGCCUGGUCAGAUAGUGUUGAACUGUGUGACAAACGCAAUAAAAAAUAGCUCAAAAGUCAUCGCUGUUAUUUCACAUGCUUCAGUAAAGGAUUCUGAUUGGCUGUACGAGAUACACUUAGCAAUAAAGGAAUAUAACAAAAGAGGCAGUUUAGCUCUGCAGUCCUCCAAGCUACCCAGUUCUUAUGUUAUACCCAUCUUGUGUGAGAAUGAAGCAGGAGAAUUACCCAUAAUGCCAGAAGUCUUUGAAGUCUUCGCAGCUGCUAAAGUUCCUUUUGACAGAAAAGAUUGUAAUUGGGACAAAUUGGAAAAAGCUAUUCGAGAUGAUGAAUAAGUUUCUUUUUUAUUGUGGGAUUUAUUUAAUUGGAUAUUUGUUACAAGAUAUUGUAUAGUUAGAUUGACUUUAGAAAACAAUGAAUUUUACCCUUAUUUUUGUGAAUGAUUGCUUAAGUAGUCAGAUGAAAUUCUAAAAACGAUGCAUUUAACUUUCAUUUUCAGUUGUGAUAAAUAACUUGUAUAUAUCAGUAGUAUUCCUUGCUAAAUCAUUUUCCCUCUCCCCCGACCAGCCACCUUUAUAUGAUUCAUCCCAUCUUACAACACCAUCUUAUCAAGAAAUAUGUUAAUCAUCACAGGAAGCCAUUCUCAGGGCUUGUAAUUUAUUCCAAUCAUCAUCAUCAUCAUCAUCAUCAGACCAGUGCCAAUGCAUGGAGUUGGCCAUGGAACUUUAGCAAAUGCCAGAUAUUUAUUUACUCAUGAUGGUUCUCGACUCUUCUACUGUAACAUUGUACAUUUCUUGACUCCAUCUGGCUGAAAACGGUUCCCUUUCUUGGUAAUUUGUUCAAUUUUCUAAGUCUUCAGCAGAAAUAUUUAUGUAGGAGCUUAAUUUUGUAUAUUAAUGUUCAUUCUGCCAUAUAAAAUGUGUUCAUUAUUAAAUUAUUUUCAAUUUUUAGACAUCUCAUUCAAAUACACUGCAAAGAGCUGUGAUCAUUUGAAAAUUACUUAGUGGGAUAUUGAGACAUAAAUACAGACCACAUGUCCAAGGGAUGCAGUUUGAUACUGUAAUGGAAAUAAAUUUUUAUGUACAGACACAUCAGGAAUGAAAAGUAGGAAAUCUGUCUUAUUAGGUAAUUUACUGAAAGUUUUACAGGUUUUUUUUUUUUUUAAUUUAAUUUUUGCACAUAUUAGCAUUUUCAAGGUAUAACUUUGAACUUCCAUGGGCUUCAAAACCUUUGCCAGUCAUAUUUUCUGAUUAUUCAUGAUAUUUUUAUUUUAUUAUAAAAAAUUGAUGGUGAUUAUGCUGUUAAGCAUUAUAUAAUAUUGCACCAAAAUGGAAGAAAACCCUGCCCCUAUAGUGACCAUUAAAGAAAAAACAAUUCUUUACUCUUGUUAAACUUACAGGAAAGAAACACAGGACUAAAAUU
rnacentral:misc_RNA from 1 species